UACGGAGGGUCCGAGCGUUAUCCGGAAUCAUUGGGUUUAAAGGGUCCGCAGGCGGUCAAUUAAGUCAGAGGUGAAAUCCCAUAGCUUAACUAUGGAACUGCCUUUGAUACUGGUUGACUUGAGUCAUAUGGAAGUAGAUAGAAUGUGUAGUGUAGCGGUGAAAUGCAUAGAUAUUACACAGAAUACCGAUUGCGAAGGCAGUCUACUACGUAUGUACUGACGCUCAUGGACGAAAGCGUGGGGAGCGAACAGG
rnacentral:rRNA from 1 species